AACCGGUAUCUUUUUAUUUUCAGGUCUGCAUCUCGUAAGAUAUCGGAAGCCGCCUGACUUGGCCACAUCGCUCGGAAGUCCGAAGUACUAGAAAAAACCGCCAUCUGCUACCUUAAGACAUUUGUCAAUUUUUGUCUGCAUCUCGUAAGAUAUCGGAAGCCGUCUGACUUGGCCACAUCGCUCGGAAGUCCGAAGUACUAGAAAAAACCGCCAUCUGCUACCUAAAAGAACUCAGAUGGAUGAAAUUUUCUGAACAAUGCAAAUACCAUACUGGAGAAAUGAUAUAUAAAACUACAAAAAAUCUUG